UACGUAGGGGGCAAGCGUUGUCCGGAUUUAUUGGGCGUAAAGAGCGUGUAGGCGGUGUGGUAGGUCCGCUGUGAAAACUCGAGGCUCAACCUCGAGACGCCGGUGGAAACCAUCAGGCUAGAGUCCGGAAGAGGAGAGUGGAAUUCCUGGUGCAGCGGUGAAAUGCGCAGAUAUCAGGAAGAACACCCGUGGCUAAGGCGGCUCUCUAGUACGGUACUGACGCUGAGACGCGAAAGCGUGGGGAGCGAACAGG
rnacentral:rRNA from 1 species